CACACACACACACACACACACACACACACACACACACACACACACACACACACACACACACACACACACACACAAUGCGCCGGGGAUGACACUUCCUCCUUAGCACAUCUUUCUGUUCUUCUCUUCAUGUGUCGCCUCUAAUUCCAAAGGACUAUCAUCCCGACGCUGUUCGACAUGACGACGCGGUCAGAAAGAGAAAAAGCUCAGAAACUGAACGAGCAACACCAGGCCAUUCUGUCUAAACUGCUGAGAGAGGACGACAACAAAUAUUGUGCGGACUGUGAGGCCAAAGGUCCUCGAUGGGCCUCAUGGAACCUCGGGGUGUUCAUGUGUAUACGCUGUGCGGGCAUCCACCGCAACCUGGGUGUCCACAUCUCUAGAGUCAAAUCUGUCAAUCUGGACCAGUGGACCUCGGAGCAGAUCCAGAGCGUAGUGGACAUGGGUAACCACAGGGCCAAGCAGUUGUACGAAGCCCAUCUACCAGAAAACUUCAGUCGACCACAGACCGACCAGGCUGUGGAGGUUUUCAUCCGUGACAAGUAUGAGAGGAAAAAAUACUAUGACAAGGAAGCUCUAGCUACAGCCCAGAAGGAACAUGAAAAGAAGAAGGAUGAGAGGAAGAAAGAGAAGGACUUGGAAAAAAGCGAUCAACACAACAUUAAGUCCGAGAAUAGAGCCAGUCCCAAGAAGAGUAAAGAGACAGCUGUGGACCUGCUAGGCCUAGGGUUAGACAGAACAAGAAGACUGAUGGAUUGCCACCUAGCGGCGCCCGGUAAAAAGGUGGGAAGGAAAGAUGCUCCAGAUGGUUGUGGAGAAGUCAAUGAUGAACUGGACAUUUUUGGACCAAUGGUCUCCAACCCUCUCCCUUCCUCCAAGAACACACAGCAGGCUAAGUCAGGUUCCAGUGCUGUGCCUCAACUAUCAGAUCCCUCCACCUCUUCAUCUUCUUCCUCUACCUCCACCUGUACCACCACAAAGGCAGAGGAGAAGAAGCUGUUAUCCAAAGAUUCCAUACUGUCUCUGUAUGCCAGCAGCUCCGUGGGCAGUCAGCCUCAGAGCCAGCAACAACCUGCCACUGGGCAAGGUGUGUACAUGGCCCAGACUCAGGUUCCACAGCAGGGCUUCAACGCUUCAAUGGGAGGAGGGGCCAUGAUGGCAGGUGCGACGCUCCCCAAUGGCAGCUAUGUGGGCAUGCAGCAGAAUGUGAUGGCAGCCAAUGAAGGACAGAACAUGUACAGCAUGCAGCAAGGACAGUGGAGUGUGGGACAGUUAUCCCAGCAGAUGGAGGGCAUGGCCACGAGCGGCGGAGCGCUGCCGCCACCAGCACCAGCACCAGCACCAGCACCAGCACCAGCAGCAACUUGUUGGCCGGUAGCUCCAGCGGCAUCUGGUCAGACCCUCAGCACUCAGCUGUGGAACAGAGAUGCUGUUUGAACAGGUGUUUCGACACUAUGGCCUUCCAGAGGAUAUUGUUUCGGAUCGUGGUCCGCAGUUCACGUCAAGAGUAUGGAAAGCCUUCAUGAUGAAAUUGGGGGUUGCAGUGAGCCUCACCUCUGGCUACAGUCCGCAGUCGAAUGGACAAGUGGAGUGGACCAAACAGGAACUGGGCAGGUUCCUCCGCAGCCACUGCAUGGACCAACAGGCUCAGUGGGCACAGUUUCUCCCUUAGGCUGAGUAUGCUCAAAAUUCCCUUCACCACUCUUCUACGGGUCUGACUCUAUUCCAGUGUGUCUUCAGCUACCAGCCUCCCUUGUGCCCCUGGGAUCCAACAAAGACGGAGGUCCCUGCAGGGAAUGACUGGUUCCAUCGUUCUGAGGAGGUGUGUAAUUCAGCUAAUGUCCGACUCCAGCGCGCCAUUCGCCGACAGAAAGAGCAGGCUGACCGUCAUCGCGGUGUGAUUUCGAUUUACCAACCUGGAGAUCGGGUCUGGCUCUCCACCAAGAACCUCAACCUUCGCAUGCUCUGCCAGAAGCUGAGUCCACGUUUUGUGGGUCCCUUCAAGGUCCUGCGGAGCGUCAACGAGACCUGUGACUCCCGGUCCCCUGGCGGAUGCUAUCCCCCUCGAUACCCCACCACCUCCCCUGGACAUAGAGGGCUCCUCGGCUUAUGCUGUCAGGACCCCCUGGACUCCAGACGUUGGGGGGUAGGCUUCAGUAUCUGGUGUACUGGAGGGAUUUGGCCCCGAGGAGCGCAGGGGGGGGGGGGGGGGGGGGGGGGGGUACUGUCACCACGCCCAAACCCUCACUCCAGAGAUCUGUUGAUGUUCUCGUUCCAAACCUCAUCCGGGACUUCCAUCGGCAAGUCUAUUAAUUAUACUCAGCUGUCUGCUCAUAGCCUUACAGCCAAUCAGACUCCACACUCACCGCUGACUCAUUA